rnacentral:tRNA from 1 species
GGUGCUGUGGCUCACAUGGUAGAGUGCUUGCCUUGCAUGCAUGAGGCCCUGGGUUCAAUUCCUCAGCACCA